GGGUACGGAGCGUGCCGAGAAAAGACAGGUAUUUUUUCUAAGAUUAAUCACAUCUAUUUAGUCUCCGAGGAAAGACAGGUAUUUUUUCUAAGAUUAAUCACAUCUAUUUAGUUAAAAAAGAGAUACAACUCUGCUAGUGCAAAUUAAUUCAAAACUCCCAAGUUCUUUAUUCUCUAAUUACCUUAAUUUUAAGAUAAUUUAUUUUCUAAAUAAAAAACAACGCUUCUUUCUUUUAUCUUGCAAUCUCAACUUAGCCCAAGGUCCCUGAGGAUA
rnacentral:lncRNA from 1 species